rnacentral:rRNA from 1 species
CUCAUAGCGUAUAUUAAUGUUGUUGCAGUUAAAAAGCUCGUAGUUGGAUUCCUGACCUGGGGUAGCCGGUCCGCCUUGCAAAAGGUGCGCACUGAGCGGCCUCGGUCAUCCUUGAGAAGAGCGGUCCUGGCAUUCAGUUGUCGGGGUCGGGAUUCUCGACGUUUACUGUGAAAAAAUCAGAGUGUUCAACGCAGGCUUACGCCUUGAAUACAUUAGCAUGGAAUAAUGAGAUAGGACCUUGGCGGUCUAUUUUGUUGGUUUGCACGCCGAGGUAAUGAUUAAAAGGGACGGUUGGGGUUCUUCGUAUUCAAUUGUCAGAGGUGAAAUUCUUGGAUUUAUGGAAGACGAACUGCUGCGAAAGCGUCGAACAAGGACGUUCUCAUUAAUCAAGAACGAAAGUUAGGGGAUCGAAGAUGAUUAGAUACCAUCGUAGUCUUAACCAUAAACUAUGCCGAUUCAGGAUUGGCGGUCGUUUGUUCUCGACUCCGUCAGCACUGUAUGAGAAAUCAAAAUCUUUGGGU